rnacentral:rRNA from 1 species
GACGAACGCUGGCGGCGUGCCUAAUACAUGCAAGUCGAGCGAGCUUGCCUAGAUGAUUUUAGUGCUUGCACUAAAUGAAACUAGAUACAAGCGAGCGGCGGACGGGUGAGUAACACGUGGGUAACCUGCCCAAGAGACUGGGAUAACACCUGGAAACAGAUGCUAAUACCGGAUAACAACACUAGACGCAUGUCUAGAGUUUGAAAGAUGGUUCUGCUAUCACUCUUGGAUGGACCUGCGGUGCAUUAGCUAGUUGGUAAGGUAACGGCUUACCAAGGCAAUGCUGCAUAGCCGAGUUGAGAGACUGAUCGGCCACAUUGGGACUGAGACACGGCCAAAACUCCUACGGGAGGCAGCAGUAGGGAAUCUUCCACAAUGGACGAAAGUCUGAUGGAGCAACGCCGCGUGAGUGAAGAAGGGUUUCGGCUCGUAAAGCUCUGUUGGUAGUGAAGAAAGAUAGAGGUAGUAACUGGCCUUUAUUUGACGGUAAUUGCUUAGAAAGUCAUGGCUAACUACGUGCCAGCCGCCGCUGUAAGAC